AAUAAGUUUAUUUUUUAAUUUUUGGAUAAUAACUUUUCGUCUUAUUUAAAAAAAUUUUCGAUUAAUAUUUUAUUGUUGCUAGAUGAUAAAACAUGAAUAGUACUUCAUGCUUGACUAAUUUCUUAAAGUUUUCCUAUAAAUUUUUCAAAUAAAACGGAUGGUGAAACGUUUGACCCAGAAGUCAAAAAAUAAAGUUAUU
rnacentral:pre_miRNA from 1 species